UUCUCGGUUCCUCGCAACGAGGUCUGGUUUACUCGGUCAGGUUCGGAAGAAAGCAGCCAAAGUCAGAUUGUUCGUGUGCCGAGAUCAAGCUGGGAAGGU
rnacentral:SRP_RNA from 2 species